AACGUAGGUUCCGAGCGUUAUCCGGAUUUACUGGGCGUAAAGCGCGUUCAGGCGGUCAGGCAAGUCGGGCAUGAAAUCUCUCGGCUCAACCGGGAGAGGUUGUCCGAUACUGCCGGACUGGAGGGCAGUAGAGGGUGGUGGAAUUCCGGGUGUAGUGGUGAAAUGCGCAGAUAUCAGGAAGAACACCCGUGGCUAAGGCGGCUCUCUAGUACGGUACUGACGCUGAGACGCGAAAGCGUGGGGAGCGAACAGG
rnacentral:rRNA from 1 species